CCUACGGGGGGCUGCAGUGGGGAAUAUUGGACAAUGGGCGCAAGCCUGAUCCAGCCAUGCCGCGUGAGUGAAGAAGGCCUUCGGGUUGUAAAGCUCUUUCAGACGUGAAGAUGAUGACGGUAGCGUCAGAAGAAGCCCCGGCUAACUUCGUGCCAGCAGCCGCGGUAAUACGAAGGGGGCAAGCGUUGUUCGGAAUUACUGGGCGUAAAGCGCGCGUAGGCGGCGUCGUCAGUCAGAGGUGAAAUCCCAGGGCUCAACCUUGGAAUUGCCUUUGA
rnacentral:rRNA from 1 species